GGGAAAGCCGCUGAUAUGCGCCGUAGAUCCAACAACAAACGCUCUACAGAGUUCCUGGUUUCCUGGACUUUGAUCCCCAAAGAGGAGAUUGAUCAACAGGUCCUGUAUUCAUGUGUACACUGGUGCCUCGAACCACAUUCAUCCACGCAGAGGAGCAGAGCUGAAGCACAAUUGUGCUAACGCGGCAACCUCCACCACCCCACCACCACCAGUUGAGCCCUGUCCCGCACGGGGGUAAGCUCCUCGCCCCUGCCUCCUAUCUCCGGCAGGACAUGGCGGUUCCGGGUACAACUCCCUCGGACCGCCGGACGGGGCCUACGCCAAAGAGAGAGACAUUACUUUCUGUUUUACAUUUAUCAUAUAAAUGGCAUCUUAAACUUCACUCAAGCCUGCGUGUCUUCCCGAUAGAAAUGAAUGGAUGUUGUCUGAGGCUGUCAGUACAUAAGACCAUGAUCAGUUGAAUUUUUUCUUGGUAAUACGACCAAUCUACCAUGAUUGAUUUU